GACGGAAGGUGCAAGCGUUGCUCGGAAUCACUGGGCGUAAGGGGGCGUAGGCGGCCGUGCAAGUCUGGCGUGAAAGCCCCGGGCUCAGCCCGGGAAGUGCGCUCGAAACUGCGCGGCUCGAGUGCCGGAGGGGAGAGUGGAAUUCCUGGUGUAGCGGUGAAAUGCGUAGAUAUCAGGAGGAAUACCGGUGGCGAAAGCGACUCUCUGGACGGCAACUGACGCUGAGGCACGAAAGCGUGGGGAGCAAACAGG
rnacentral:rRNA from 1 species